GGGAAGGAAAUGAAAGAAAGGGGAGAAUAAGGAGUUCUCUUGUAAUUUGCAUAACAUUCUAAAAAUGAGAUGAGAAUUGGGAAAGAGGAUAAGUAUUUUCACUUUUAUUUUUUUGGAUGAGUGGGAGAUAUGGAUUUUUUAUUUGUGAUUUUCACCUUCUUAGAAGGUAAAAUUUUUUAAAGGUAAAAUUUUUUACACCCAAAAUUGGUGCAACUAAUUUC
rnacentral:misc_RNA from 1 species